UGCCAGCCGCCGCGGUAAUACGGAGGGUGCGAGCGUUGUUCGGAAUUACUGGGCGUAAAGCGCGUGUAGGCGGUUUCGUAAGUCUGGUGUGAAAUCCCGGGGCUCACCCCCGGAAGUGCAUUGGAUACUGGGAGACUAGAGUACCGGAGAGGAGGGUGGAAUUCCUGGUGUAGCGGUGAAAUGCGUAGAUAUCAGGAGGAACACCGAUGGCGAAGGCAUCUCUCUGGGUCGAUAUUGACGCUGAGGCGCGAAGGCGUGGGUAGCGAACGGGAUUAGAUA
rnacentral:rRNA from 1 species